CUUUAAUGAGGCCCACCACCCCACCACCGAUACUGACUUCAAAGUUCAAACGAGCAUAAAAAAAAAUUUCACCACAUCCCAUCCACACCACACCCAACCCAGUGCAGCACUACUACUGUACUGUCUACCAUAGUUUGAAUUUUGAAUAGCGAACAGCCAGCCUCUCUGCUGCUACCGCUGCUGCUGGUGCUGGAGGCUGCUCACUGAUAUACUGAUAGCAGUGUCCUCCCUUCAUUCAUCCGCUGCCGCCGCCGCCGCCGCCGCCGCCGCCGCCGCCUCCUCUCUGAUCCAGCCAAUUAGCCCAAAGAUAUCGUGAUCAUGCUUGCGUUGUGAGCUUUGGCAUUUGAGCUAUCUGUUUGUCUUCCUCUGCAGUCUGCACCAUGAACUUGCAUUCUCUUUCCUCACAUUCUCAUUACCCCAAGCCAAAUUUUUUCCCGGAGAAAUACACAGAUUAUGCCAACAAAGGCAAGAUCGAUACUUCUUGUGCUUCAGAGGUGAAUGGUUCAAUCAUGGAUGCCAAAAUAUCCAAGACACGCA